rnacentral:tmRNA from 2 species
GGGGGUGUCACGGGUUCGACAGGAUAUAUAAGCAAUUAAAUGCAGUGGGGUCUGCCCCUUACAGCUCGAGGUCUAAUAAAUGCAGACAAAAAUGAAAACAACAAUGUUGAAGUUAAUGCUUUUGAAGCAAGUUUAUUCAACAAACAACAAUUAGUCUCUUUAGCUUACUAAUUUUUGUUAAUAAUUUUUAGCUAAAUAUUUUUCUAGUUUUUUAGAAUAAAAAAUUAAAAAUUCUUGUCUAAAAUAAUAGUUUUUGUUGCUUUUUAUAAUUUUAGAAGAAUUUAAAGGAUAAAAAAGUAAAUAAACUGUAGAUUUUAAUUGUGAGUAUAUUUUGGAAAGGGGUUCAACUCCCCUCAUCUCCACCA